UUUUAUACUCCCUUUAAAUGUGGUAUAUCUGGAAUUUAUUUUGGUUUAAGGAAUGAAGGUAGAGAGAGAGCCAGCCUUAAGUUUUCCGAAUGGCUAGCUGUGGUCUAAACACCAUUUUUUGAGCACUCUCUCUUCUUUCCAUAGAAUCCUUACAUUUGAGAUUUGAGGUUUUCUGAUAAAUAUUUUGUGUUUACAGUACCAUUUAGGUAAAACAGUAUGGAGAUGCGUUGGGAAAGCUGUGCAUGUAAUAUUUAUUACAGGAUUCCCGUGUAAAUUAAGGCUGCUCCUACAACUAAACAGUACAAGGAAUAGCUUAUGAUCAGAAGAAAAAAAGCAUAGCAUGCUUAUGGGUUUUGCUUAGAUUAGGAGAUGAGAUGUGUAUGUGUCAGAAGGGAGAUCUUAGAAUAUGUAAAAGUACUAGAAUCAAAGUAAACUAAGGAGAGACCAUAAUAAUCAGGUUGCAGGUUCACUCCCAGUGUAUCAUGUAAUAACCCUUUUUGUUAAAAAACAAAAAAACAGUCUAAACUAAGGAAAUUAUUUUCAUGACAAUGUAUUUUAAAAAUUGGAUGUUCUUAAAAUAAUAGACAUUUUUAUAGAAAUUUGAUUCUGUGAUUUGUUGACAUUUAUAACUAAUGUACUGGAAUUUAUUGAUCUUAUUGAAGGAGAGACCUCACUGUGACAUUCCUAUGUGACAAGUGGAGUUUUAUGAUUAGUCUAACUUAAGACUGAGUAUAAGGGUACUUAGUAAGCUAUAAGACAUGUCUUCUGAGUCAUAAAAUCUCAUUACUUAUCAUUGAAGUCCUUGAUCAGAGUGGGAGUAGUGAAGCUUGUUAAAAGCAUAGUGGCACACAGUAUGUGUUGUUGCAUUUCUCCUGCCUGGGUGCAUUGGUUCAGGGAAACGGUAGGACUGUAACUUGUAAAACAGAACAGACUAUGAUUGAAGCAAAAAGGAAUGAAGAUAAAAGUUACUUAAGGGAAAGAUCCAAGUUUUGGAGAGGCAGAUGAAACUUCUUGUUACUUUUCGUUUUUGCCAAAGAAUGGGAGCAAACAUGAGUUGAGAGAUGAUGUGCGUGAAAGGACAGGUUCUCUGUGUUGCUGCGGGACACAUUUGGGAUUUACAGAUAAGUGAAUGUUCAAGGCAUCAAGUAGAAAAAGUGUAUCUAUCAGUUAUGUUUUCUCUGAAAUUUACUGAAACUGAAAGGAGCAGGGACCUAUGACAUAUGUGGUAAAGGAAGGAGGAGUGACUGCUUAUAUAUAAAUAAGACCAGCAUUCAGUUUUCCUUGAUUAAAAUUUGAAUGUAUCAAAAUGUAAAACUGUUAGAAUCAUUUUAUGAACAUCAGUGGGAAAUGAACUUCCAAGAGCUUAUUUAUUUAAAAAAGGGUAUUUUCACUUGAUGCAAACCAUAACCUAAAACCUAGGUAAAGCUCAAAACAAUUCUUUUCUUCUUUAUUCUAAGUAUUUAAGUGUAAAUUACAAGUUAUUACUUCAAAGAAUGGCUCUGAAACCUAUUAACUUCAGAGUCAGACCAUUUAAUUCUGUUACAUUUGUCUAGAUAUUAAAUGUAGUUGGACUUCACAUGAAAAAUUACAGAAGAUAAGCGAACCCAGGAAAUGUGUUUACUACUCUUGAUUUAAGCUCUAAGCGAAAGACAUGAGGCCUAAGACUGAGAUGAGGUUGUUUUGAGGCCAUCUGAUUUCUGACUAGAAGGUGUGCGAUCGCCUCGUCCUGAAACCACUUCAAACAGAAUGGUUUGCAAUUUUUUUUGGUGAUGGCAUGUUCAGAAUCUUGGAUCCCUAAGUUGAAUAUGUUGGAAAUAUUUAGGAACUCUGGAAAUUACUGUUUUGUGUAUAUAAUGACUUACUAGGUGAAUCAGUAGAUUUAAUAAAAAAGUAUAUAAAAGAAUAGGCAUUAUAAUUUUGUGUUUCUAAGUUGACAUGCAUGUCUCAAAUUCUCAUCUAUCACUAUUAGUGUCAUUCCCUGGAGACAGUUAUAUAAUAAUUUGAAGAUUUGGGGGUUUUUAUGGACCCCAUGUUUUCCCCGGCAGUUUAUGUAAUCCUCCUGUGCCAAUUUGGUCAGCUCCUUUUCCUUUCUAUCUACCUUGCCAUGUAGCUUACUUAGAUCAGAGGUAAUUAUUGAUCAGGAGGAGAUCAAGUGACAAUCCUAGAGGUAGUAAUUACAGAAUUUCAGCCUGGAAAUGACCUCAGAAUGGUCUGUAUUAGAAUAUGUAAAUUAUAUCCAAAUACACUUGUGACCAGAUGCUGCUGAUUUUCGAAUUGGAUAUUGUUAUGUAGGACAGAAGUGCUAAUGAGGAGGAAAAAGAGCUGUUCUGUUUCACCUCCUCCCUCUCUACCUGUUGUUGGGUGCAUGAAUUAGUGGAAAGUAAGAUGGCCAAGGGGUAGACAGUAUAAAUGGAAAGGAGAAAAAACAAAACCUGAAUCUCCAAGAAGGAAUACUUUCCCUUAAAAAUUUGAAAGUUAGCUCUAUUCCAAGUACCUGAACACACUAUUUUAAAACCAUAGGCUCACUUUCGCAUAGACCCAGAAUGUGAGUGAACUAGGGUGUGCUUGUCCAGAGGGAGAGCUGGAGAACUUGUUAUCUGACAGGAGAGUCAGUGCUUGGGUGAGUCCGUGGUUGUCUGCUCGGAUGAAGAGGUUUGAGGAGCAUCAUGGGGCAGUUAUUUUGAUAGUCAAAUACAACAGCCUUCCUAUCCCUUUGACCAAAACUGGGGAAGGAUUGCUUUUUAAGACUGUGUUUAGAACAGCUUGAAAAAGGAUCAUAGGGAAAGGCUGAGGAGAAUUCAGGGCUAUAAAGACUGAGUGGUAGCUCAGUAGAAUGUUCAUGUAUUUGCUUAUUGCAAGUUUUAUCGUUGGUAGAUUAUCCAAUAAUGUGGAAGUUUGUGUACCAUCAAAGUUUUCAUAAUGUUUCUACUGGAAGGCUUCUAGAAGCUAAAUAAGAUACACUGUAGCACCGCCCCCCCACACACACCCCUUUGCUUUGCUUUAUUUUAAGAGGAUUUGACUGAUCCGUAUUUAAUAGAUGACACAAUGAAAACAUUAGAUUUUUAAAAAUCAAGUUACAUUUUAAUUUCAAUGUGUGUUGCCUAUUUGCUGCUUUCCCAUUACAAUUGGCUUUUUAAAAACUCUCCUUCUGUGAUACUUUUGUCAAUAGAGGUGUUUCCUCUUAGCCAAUUCUAGCCACAGUAUUGACUGGGCCUCGGCAUUUGAUAUACCCAGAAGGAAUUAGACAGGCAGGAAAAAACUUGGUCUCUACUGGAAUGAAUAUUUUAAAAGCCUUCUUAGAUUCUGAACACUUUGAGUACAAAGGAAAGAGACCCAAGAGAGGGAAAAAUGUAAGAGCCCAAGAAUAAAAAAUGCUGGUGGGGGUGGGGGAUCAACUCUUACACAGCUAACCCAAGUGUCAUAAGGGAAGGAAAUGAAGUUCCUGGAGAUGAGGAGGCAGUUUAUAAAAUCCCGGGACAGCAGGCAUUCUGAUAAUCAGUUGGGUAGUUCACACUAGCGGGGCAGUAGUAUUUUAAGGCUAGUGACAGGUGAUCUGGGGAAAUAUUAAUGUAUUUCCUAACAAUGAGUUUGGUUUUUAUUUUAGUGUGUUAUAAAUGGGUAUGCAGCUCAAAGAUGAACAUAAUUCAAGAUAAGUAUCUUCAUUCUUAGAGAAGAUACAAUAAAAAAUGGAUCUUUUGUCCCUAUCAUUUACUUUAGAAAGUAAUGUAGAAUAUGGGGCAUAAUAGAGAAUUGAUGGCAUGAAUAUAAUCAGUAUUUGAUGGAAGCUGUCUAGAAACUUCUAAGUAAAACCUUACAUUUAAUGUUGUCCUUAGUUGUACUGUAACAAUUUUGGUGGGAAAAUGUGUACCUUCUUGGGUCACCGUGCUCCAUAGACUGGCACAUCACUGUGAAAGUUUAGAAAUCUGACUCCGUUUACCCCAGGGAGGAACACAGAUCUUCAUAAAUAUGGGUACAGUAAGUACGUAGGGACCCACAGAGAAGGUGAGCCUAGAACAAUGAAUGGUUCUUUGUAUUUUGGUACUUUUCAACCCCCUUUUGAAAAUCCGAAGGUAACUAUGGAUCCUUUCUCCAACAAGACUGCAAUUUCUGAGGGUAGAGGGACUGCCCUUGGUUGUCAGGUCAGGAAGCCCUGAUCUAAAAGAUCAUCUUCAUUUUUCUUCUGACCUUGCUCUGACUUUAUUGUCACUCUCUGUCAGGGGUUCUCUGUCGCCUUUGAAGGGAGCUUCAAAUCUUGAAGGACACUUACUGCCUUACACAUUGAACUGAAGCCACAAGUCCGGAGCUUUGUAAUAAAAUGGAGCAAACCUUGUCCACAAAGAGCUGCCCCACAAGUACAGUGGUAAAAACAGAGCCUGAGGCAUGAAGGUGUGGCACGGCCUCCGAGCGAGUACCUGCUUCCUGCUCCUGUAGGGGCAUUUAUUCCAUAGGAAGUUGAAUAUUAAUGUUUUGUUUUUAAAAGAAGCAUAUUUCUUUUAAGAACUCUAAUUAUUUUAAAGGUUUUCUACCGAAGUGUGGCUUUCUCCUCAUGUGUUAGGAUGUCACAUUAAUGGUGUAAAAUGUGUACUUCAAAUUAACACAGUAACUGGGAACUUGGGAUUCUGUUACUUUGUGACUCUGAAAUUUAUAACACGUUUUCAGGAAAAUUGUUGAUUCCCAGAUAAUUCAUUCUUAACUCCUUUCAGCUUCCUGAAUGUAUGAUUGUUUCUGAACCUUAUUAAGCCAUUUAUAAGAGUAGACAAAACUGUCUUCAGUUCUUAUUUUGACACGGAAUGGAUACAUUUGAUUUAUCUUAUUAGAAAUGUGUUUUGACAGAAAAUUCUAUUUGAGUGGCUCUAAUCUUCAUUUUGGAAUGUCAGAUACCCUGCUUGUUAUGUUGUUCAUUGGGACUUUCCUGCAAAAUACAGCUUCGCUGAGAAGAUGAUCCUUGAAAAAUCAAGAAGUCUGAAGAAACUAAUUUGGGGACUGAGUAAAGAGAUGGAAAAGCAUCGUCAGACUGACAACGCAGCACACUCUGGAAACAUCUUAGACUGCAUUGCUUUUGUACAUGAACCAAUUUGUCUGUGUUAUGAACUGGACCUAUAUAGAGAGAAAACCACCUCAUAAAAUGUAAUAUAAGAAAACACACUUUGGCCUCUAAAAACAUUUCUGUCAGAACAGUCUGCUCUUGACUGCUCACACUGAUGGAGGGAGCCUGGGUCAUUGCACUUGACUGAAAGUUAGACAUCAUGUAUUCUGGAUUUGAAGGUGUUUAUAAAUUUCCUCUUGGAAUAUAGUGUUCGGGGCUUUUACAACAUCUGUCUCCCAUGUGCCUUUCAUGUCCCCUGAGAAAGGAGCCUGAGCUGUGUGUGCCCUGAUGCUUGUUCUCGGUCCAUCUUUCUCGGCACCGUGGACUUAAAUGUGAGGAAAACAUGGAGCAUGUAGGGUUCCAGCAUCCUGUUAAAUCUAUCCCGCUUAUCCCUUCCAGGUAGUUGUGUUACAUUUCCCUUUCAGCUCUUCUAAAUGUGGCCCAAUUUUAGCCCCUUGCUUAGGUCAAGGUACUGUUUCAGGCUUCUUCCUUCCCAUUGUCGUGUUUUGUUCUGGCCGCGAUGGGAGGAUGGCAGUUGCCUUACUGUAAGAGUCCACUUGUGUCCUUUCAUUUUCAUCUCCCUUCCUGCAUGUUCUGGUCUAGAAAUAAAACAGAUCUAGAGUCGGGGAUCCGGGCUGCGUGAGGUCUGCCUGUAUACACUCACAGCACUGAAUUUAAUAUACAGCCUUUUAGCUGCGGUGUUGACAGUAGUCUCUUUUGUAUCUCUGCCCUGUGCCGGGCACUUUGCUGCGUGUGGCGGUCCCCUCUUCCUCUGCACCACCGCAUUCUCUUGAGGCCAAGACUAGACCUCAUGGUGCCGUAGGCACAGGGAGAACCGCAGCUGACCUCUGUGUUCCUGGGGUCAUGAGUUAAUGAGGUAGUAGUUGAAGAGAGAUCCUGGGGUCCUCCACUGGACUCGAGUCACAGCAGAUCAUGUGCAGAGAAAGUCAUCAUGUCCAUAGGAUUUUGACAAAUUUGUCAAAAAACAGGCCAAAUUUCAGGUUAACUAUGAACCCACAUUGACUAUCCUGGUGUGUCUUACUUAAAAAAAAAUAAAAAGUAUCACUUAAAAACAUUAUCAUAUUACCGUGACAUGCAAAAUGUGAUAUUACUCAACAAAAUUUUUACAAGUAGCUUUCAGAAACGUGCAAAUAUGUUUUGUGUAAAAGAGUAUACACUGUGUGUAAUAAUUUUCUGAUUCUCGCUCUAAUAAAUAUUAAACUUAAGUGGUCUCAGUAUUUAAAACCUAAUAGUUUGAAAAUAUUUUUUGAGUAAAAUUUUAAAGUAUAUAAUUUACUUUUCAUGUAAUGUGCAAGUAUUCUUAGAAUACUUGUUUUCCACAUGUGAAACUACUGUGAACAGGGUCUGUGUCUUCAGUAAGAGUUUCUGAAGCUUUGGCUGUAAUUAACCAAGUGCUUGGGAUUGGGCUGGCUGGAAAUGCAUAUUGAGCUUUUCUGUGUAUGUAGCAAACUUUGUCCAAAUAAAGUAGCUUUGUACCCUGAA